rnacentral:rRNA from 1 species
UACGAAGGGGGCUAGCGUUGUUCGGAUUUACUGGGCGUAAAGCGCGUGUAGGCGGGUCGUUAAGUUAGGGGUGAAAUCCCGGAGCUCAACUCCGGAACUGCCUCUAAAACUGGCGACCUUGAGCAGAGGAGAGGCGAGCGGAAUUCCGAGUGUAGAGGUGAAAUUCGUAGAUAUUCGGAGGAACACCAGUGGCGAAGGCGGCUCGCUGGACUCUUGCUGACGCUGAGACGCGAAAGCGUGGGGAGCAAACAGG